AUUAUAUCUUCCAUUGUAUUGUAUUUGUAUUUGUAGGUACUAUCUGAUAUACAAGCCAAAAAAGUAGCAGAAGAAGAGGAAGCCCGUCGAUUAGCACAAGAGGCUCUUGCUCAAAAAAAACUGCAGGCCCGCAAAGCAGAAGAGGCAGCAGAAAAGGCUCGUACUCUAUAUGUACUCCGGGACCUUGCUGAUAUAACUCAGCGUAAUUUCUUGCGACACCUGACUAAAGAAAGUGUUUUUGAAAGACUUUUAAAAGUUACAAACACAGCCCUGGACAAUGAAGAUGAUACAGCUUCACCAAUUCAAUCUGUGCACAUGCCAACACGAUAUGGCAAGGAGGUCAACUAUGAAAAUGAUAUGAAGCCCUUGGAUGCCAGCAGCAGCCAGCCGUUGGAUGAGCUCAACAAAAAGUCAACACAAAACCUUAGCCUUGAGGAUAAAGCUACUGUUCAGGAGGGGGGUAUUGGUAGCGCCCAACUGCUCUAGAUAUUGGACCUAGGUUUAUUAUUUUGUGUCGCAUAGCCUAGUUGUUGCAAGUGUACUAUGAAAUGGCUUUUGGAGUAAGAGAGCAACCAGAGAAACAAUAUUUAUAACUAAUAGUGUGGCUUUGUAAACUGUUCUGAAUCCUUCUACUUCCUAUGCAUACUUGGAGAAUUUCUGUUA